rnacentral:tRNA from 1 species
AAGGGAGACCUAAUUCAGGUAAAAGACGAAAAAAAAGUAGUCGCUACCAAGAAUCAAUCCCAAAAGGUCGGAGCGAGGCGAAAUUGGCUUUCAAACUAGGUUCUGGGUUCAAACAAGACCUGAAUCAGGAACAAGGGCUAUUAGCUCAGGUGGUUAGAGCGCACCCCUGAUAAGGGUGAGGUCCCUGGUUCGAGUCCAGGAUGGCCCACCUGCACAGGUGGCAAAAACAAGAGAAGCGAGGAAUCAGCACCUUAUCCUACUUAUAUAGUAAGAGAGAAUGCUGGCUCUGAGUAAAGAGUCCAGAGGAACCUUGAAAACUGCAUAGAGCUAGGUGAAAAAGCCAAAAAAGAAGACCGCAAGGUCAAGCUAAUAAGGGCUAACGGUGGAUACCUAGGCAC